UGGGGAAUUUUGGACAAUGGGGGCAACCCUGAUCCAGCGACGCCGCGUGAAGGACGAAGGUCUUCGGAUUGUAAACUUCUUUUGAAGGGGAUGAACCGGCUAGUGAAUAACUAGCCUUGACAGUACUCUUUGAAUAAGCCACGGCUAACUACGUGCCAGCAGCCGCGGUAAUACGUAGGUGGCAAGCGUUACUCGGAAUUACUAGGCGUAAAGCGCAGGUAGGCGGUUCGAAAAGUUUCUUGUGAAAGCUCCCGGCUCAACUGGGAGAGGCCAAGGAAAACUGUCGAGCUAGAGUGUGGCAGAGGAAGCUAGAAUUCCUGGUGUAGCGGUGAAAUGCGUAGAUAUCAGGAGGAAUACCUAUGGCGAAAGCAGGCUUCUGGGCUAUCACUGACGCUGAUCUGCGAAAGCUAGGGGAGCAAACAG
rnacentral:rRNA from 1 species